UACGUAGGCAGCGAGCGUUGUUCGGAUUUACUGGGCGUAAAGCGCACGUAGGCGGAUCGAUCAGUCAGGGGUGAAAUCCCAGGGCUCAACCCUGGAACUGCCUUUGAUACUGUCGAUCUGGAGUAUGGAAGAGGUGAGUGGAAUUCCGAGUGUAGAGGUGAAAUUCGUAGAUAUUCGGAGGAACACCAGUGGCGAAGGCGGCUCACUGGUCCAUUACUGACGCUGAGGUGCGAAAGCGUGGGGAGCAAACAGG
rnacentral:rRNA from 1 species